CUCUGGUAUUGAUUGGUGCUUGCAUCAUGAUUUACAUUUGAGUGAGUGGCGAACUGGUGAGUAACACGUGGGAAACCUGCCCAGAAGCGGGGGAUAACACCUGGAAACAGAUGCUAAUACCGCAUAACAACUUGGACCGCAUGGUCCGAGCUUGAAAGAUGGCUUCGGCUAUCACUUUUGGAUGGUCCCGCGGCGUAUUAGCUAGAUGGUGGGGUAAUGGCUCACCAUGGCAAUGAUACGUAGCCGACCUGAGAGGGUAAUCGGCCACAUUGGGACUGAGACACGGCCCAAACUCCUACGGGAGGCAGCAGUAGGGAAUCUUCCACAAUGGACGAAAGUCUGAUGGAGCAACGCCGCGUGAGUGAAGAAGGGUUUCGGCUCGUAAAACUCUGUUGUUAAAGAAGAACAUAUCUGAGAGUAACUGUUCAGGUAUUGACGGUAUUUAACCAGAAAGCCACGGCUAACUACGUGCCAGCAGCCGCGGUAAUACGUAGGUGGCAAGCGUUGUCCGGAUUUAUUGGGCGUAAAGCGAGCGCAGGCGGUUUUUUAAGUCUGAUGUGAAAGCCUUCGGCUCAACCGAAGAAGUGCAUCGGAAACUGGGAAACUUGAGUGCAGAAGAGGACAGUGGAACUCCAUGUGUAGCGGUGAAAUGCGUAGAUAUAUGGAAGAACACCAGUGGCGAAGGCGGCUGUCUGGUCUGUAACUGACGCUGAGGCUCGAAAGUAUGGGUAGCAAACAGGAUUAGAUACCCUGGUAGUCCAUACCGUAAACGAUGAAUGCUAAGUGUUGGAGGGUUUCCGCCCUUCAGUGCUGCAGCUAACGCAUUAAGCAUUCCGCCUGGGGAGUACGGCCGCAAGGCUGAAACUCAAAGGAAUUGACGGGGGCCCGCACAAGCGGUGGAGCAUGUGGUUUAAUUCGAAGCUACGCGAAGAACCUUACCAGGUCUUGACAUACUAUGCAAAUCUAAGAGAUUAGACGUUCCCUUCGGGGACAUGGAUACAGGUGGUGCAUGGUUGUCGUCAGCUCGUGUCGUGAGAUGUUGGGUUAAGUCCCGCAACGAGCGCAACCCUUAUUAUCAGUUGCCAGCAUUAAGUUGGGCACUCUGGUGAGACUGCCGGUGACAAACCGGAGGAAGGUGGGGAUGACGUCAAAUCAUCAUGCCCCUUAUGACCUGGGCUACACACGUGCUACAAUGGAUGGUACAACGAGUUGCGAACUCGCGAGAGUAAGCUAAUCUCUUAAAGCCAUUCUCAGUUCGGAUUGUAGGCUGCAACUCGCCUACAUGAAGUCGGAAUCGCUAGUAAUCGCGGAUCAGCAUGCCGCGGUGAAUACGUUCCCGGGCCUUGUACACACCGCCCGUCACACCAUGAGAGUUUGUAACACCCAAAGUCGG
rnacentral:rRNA from 2 species